GCGCCCGUAGCUCAACGGAUAGAGCAUCGGUCUUCGGAACCGAGGGUUGGGAGUUCGAAUCUCUCCGGGCGCG
rnacentral:tRNA from 1 species